CCUACGGGAGGCAGCAGUGAGGAAUAUUGGUCAAUGGGCGCAAGCCUGAACCAGCCAAGUCGCGUGAGGGAUGACGGUCCUAUGGAUUGUAAACCUCUUUUGUCGGGGAGCAAGGCCCGCCACGUGUGGCGGGAAGGAGAGUACCCGAAGAAAAAGCAUCGGCUAACUCCGUGCCAGCAGCCGCGGUAAUACGGAGGAUGCGAGCGUUAGCCGGAUUUAUUGGGUUUAAAGGGUGCGUAGGCGGAAUGUUAAGUCAGCGGUAAAAUGUCGGAGCUCAACACCGGCCAGCCGUUGAAACUGGUCUUCUUGAGUGAGCGAGAAGUAUGCGGAAUGCGUGGUGUAGCGGUGAAAUGCAUAGAUAUCACGCAGAACUCCGAUUGCGAAGGCAGCAUACCGGCGCUCAACUGACGCUGAGGCACGAAAGCGUGGGGAUCGAACAGGAUUAGAUACCCCGGUAGUC
rnacentral:rRNA from 1 species